rnacentral:rRNA from 2 species
UCAUGAUUUACAUUUGAGUGAGUGGCGAACUGGUGAGUAACACGUGGGAAACCUGCCCAGAAGCGGGGGAUAACACCUGGAAACAGAUGCUAAUACCGCAUAACAACUUGGACCGCAUGGUCCGAGUUUGAAAGAUGGCUUCGGCUAUCACUUUUGGAUGGUCCCGCGGCGUAUUAGCUAGAUGGUGGGGUAACGGCUCACCAAUGGCAAUGAAUACGUAGGCCGACCUGAGAGGGUAAUCGGCCACCAUUGGGACUGAGACACGGCCCAAACUCCUACGGGAGGCAGCAGUAGGGAAUCUUCCACAAUGGACGAAAGUCUGAUGGAGCAACGCCGCGUGAGUGAAGAAGGGUUUCGGCUCGUAAAACUCUGUUGUUAAAGAAGAACAUAUCUGAGAGUAACUGUUCAGGUAUUGACGGUAUUUAACCAGAAAGCCACGGCUAACUACGUGCCAGCAGCCGCGGUAAUACGUAGGUGGCAAGCGUUGUCCGGAUUUAUUGGGCGUAAAGCGAGCGCAGGCGGUUUUUUAAGUCUGAUGUGAAAGCCUUCGGCUCAACCGAAGAAGUGCAUCGGAAACUGGGAAACUUGAGUGCAGAAGAGGACAGUGGAACUCCAUGUGUAGCGGUGAAAUGCGUAGAUAUAUGGAAGAACACCAGUGGCGAAGGCGGCUGUCUGGUCUGUAACUGACGCUGAGGCUCGAAAGUAUGGGUAGCAAACAGGAUUAGAUACCCUGGUAGUCCAUACCGUAAACGAUGAAUGCUAAGUGUUGGAGGGUUUCCGCCCUUCAGUGCUGCAGCUAACGCAUUAAGCAUUCCGCCUGGGGAGUACGGCCGCAAGGCUGAAACUCAAAGGAAUUGACGGGGGCCCGCACAAGCGGUGGAGCAUGUGGGUUUAAUUCGAAGCUACGCGAAGAACCUUACCAGGUCUUGACAUACUAUGCAAAUCUAAGAGAUUAGACGUUCCCUUCGGGGACAUGGAUACAGGUGGUGCAUGGUUGUCGUCAGCUCGUGUCGUGAGAUGUUGGGUUAAGUCCCGCAACGAGCGCAACCCUUAUUAUCAGUUGCCAGCAUUAAGUUGGGCACUCUGGUGAGACUGCCGGUGACAAACCGGAGGAAGGUGGGGAUGACGUCAAAUCAUCAUGCCCCUUAUGACCUGGGCUACACACGUGCUACAAUGGAUGGUACAACGAGUUGCGAACUCGCGAGAGUAAGCUAAUCUCUUAAAGCCAUUCUCAGUUCGGAUUGUAGGCUGCAACUCGCCUACAUGAAGUCGGAAUCGCUAGUAAUCGCGGAUCAGCAUGCCGCGGUGAAUACGUUCCCGGGCCUUGUACACACCGCCCGUCACACCAUGAGAGUUUGUAACACCCAAAGUCGGUGGGGU